UUUCAAUUCGCGAUUGUCAAGGACUCAUACGAAUACGUUAAAUUCAUUUCACACUUUUCAAUUCCUAUCUUUUUCUUUUGUUUUUAAAUCGAUCGUUAAUUAAUUAUAUUUUCUUUUCCGCGCCGCGUUGUUUUCGUAUUUUGCUUCGUAAUUCGUAUCCGUAACAAUAAUACCGUAACGAAAAGGCCGAUCGCGAACGCGUAGUGCGUGUGUUAAGUUUUUCAUCCUUUCUUCGCCUUCCGGAUUUCCAGACAACAUCCAGGCUUUCAACGAGAUAUUAUCUUGAAUCAUAUUAUCAUAUAUUAUUUAACAUCGAGCUUGGUCAUCAAAAUGCAAAAUCAUUACAUAUGAUCCACGGGACGAGAAUACCAUAUUCAACAGUGUACAUAUUCAUACGUAGGAAAGUAAACAGUUGCAUAAAACGACACGCAUCGCGCGAUUGAGCGAUAGAGCGAGCCAAGUAAUUUGCAAUAGGUCGAGGGAUACGAAACGAAAAUGGCGAGAAGAAGAAGAAGAAGAAGAAGAAGAAGAAGAAGAAGAGAGGCUGCAGAGUAUACGUUGAGCAGAGGGUGGCGAGCUGUGUUAGCUUCUACACUUAAUCACUUUUGCUAAUUGCAGAAUGAUUGCUCCUCGCUUGAAGUUUCAAUAAUGGGGUUGUUACACCCCCUCCACAAUUCCUAGCCACGGCGUAACUGGUUAUACAGUAAAGCUCACCAGUUAUCACCCUCUCUCUCUCUCUCUUUCGUUAUCUAGUUUCUUCUACCCCUCUUCUGGCAACCCUUCUUUUCAGCUGGUCUCACUCUCCUUCUCGACUUCCUCAGGUAACGGCUGAUGAAUGCCAUAAUAGCCUACCUGCCUUCAGGUGAUAAGAAAGUAAUCAUUCCAUCUGGCCACGGUUAUUUCAUUACCCGUUUCUGACCCACCCCUCUCUGUUCGGUUUGCUGUACAGCCUCCAGAGAAGCGGACGGACGGUGCUAAUUAUGCAAUUAUAUCGGCCACGGAGAGGUCGAGAGCUGGGGAUAGUCUGUUUGAAAAUGAAAUUCCUCUGGUACGGGAUGGGCGACGUUAUAAAUAUCGGCUUAAUGUUUCGUCGCUUGAUAAAUAGCAGCUGCCUGGAUGCGCGAUACUAUAAAUUUUCAGGCGUGUUGGCUCACCUCAGCCCCGCGAGCAUUCAGCUUCAAGCGUUUUCGAGAGCGUUCUUUUAGAUUUGUCCAGGAGUUUUCCGCCGGAUGUUUAUUAACACUUCACUCACCGGAAAUUUAUUAAUAGGCUCAUCAUCGGUUGUUGACGAAAAACCAAUUAAUCUUUCGAUUAUUAUUAUAAAUUCAUUUAUAAUUCAGUUGAAAUAAUAAAAGUUAUGUAUACACUCGCCAUCACAUCAGGCUUCCUCAUAAAAAAUGAUGAUGUGUGGGUCCCUAUCCUUUCCCGGAGGGAUCCCUGGUGAAAAUGACAA